rnacentral:lncRNA from 1 species
UCAGCGCUCAGGAGCAGGCAGACACUGGAAGUGCAGAAGAGCUCUCGCAGUGGGGUGUGUCCGGUCAGAUGAGGGGGCCGGUGGACAGGGGCAGACUGCUGGGGUUGACAAAGAGAUGCCAGAUACCAGGACAAGGAGUGGCAACAGCGCAGUGAAAAAGACUUUGACAGAACACUCAAGCAAACUGACGGAAUAACUCUGGAAAAAAGAUUACUGCACAAAAGGAUGUGGAUGGAAACAACAGUAGCAGCUCUUGUGUACAUUCCACCAGAGUCUUUAGUUACUUAAUUGAGCUCAUUUUUGCCACGCUAAAAAAAAAAACAGGUUGUGUCCAGGUUUAAUUAAGUGGAAAUUUAUA